CAGCCGCCACGGUAAUACGUAGGGUGCAAGCGUUACUCGGAAUUACUGGGCGUAAAGCGCACGCAGGCGGUUUGUUAAGUCAGAUGUGAAAUCCCCGAGCUUAACUUGGGAACUGCAUUUGAAACUGGCAAGCUAGAGUCUUGUAGAGGGGGGUAGAAUUCCAGGUGUAGCGGUGAAAUGCGUAGAGAUCUGGAGGAAUACCGGUGGCGAAGGCGGCCCCCAGGACAAAGACUGACGCUCAGGUGCGAAAGCGUGGGGAGCAAACAGGAUUAGAUACCCCUGUAGUCCCUGUCUCUUAUAC
rnacentral:rRNA from 1 species